CCGGCGGCUGGGACGGGCCCGCCGUCCUCGCGGGGCUUCGGGCCCUGGGGCAACUCGUGGUCGUACGACCGGAGUUCGAGACGGAGCUGCCGCA
rnacentral:tRNA from 1 species